CUAAGGAAUAUUCACGGAGACUACACAAUUUGUUUUUACUUUGUUCAGUUUUGAGAGGUUUCACUCUCAAACACUUUUGUUCAUUGAAAACUGGAUAUUUUGAAGUAAAUGUAAGUUAAUACAAACCGAGAACACCGCGUUGAAUUUGAAAGCUGAACAAAUUGUUUAGCCUGAAGCAAAAUAGCGGACGGCCAUAAAAUCUUUCGAUUUUAUGACGCACGAUCGAUUUUUUGCCGUACAGGCUGAUUGUGAGCUGGAUAGAGUUUUUUAAUAAGUUCAAUUGCUUAUUUUCUUGAUCUAACUUCUAUCGCUAGAAGAAGGAUCAAAAGCCCAACCGUAAGGUUGAUAA
rnacentral:misc_RNA from 1 species